UUCUACUGCAACACGCUGCCGUCGGGUUUGCUGCUGUGGAAGCUUUGUUCUUUCACUCUCGUAAUAAGUCUUGCUGCUGCUCACUCUUUGGGUCCGCGCUGUCUCUGUGAGCUGCAACACUCACCGCGAGGUUCUGUGCCUUCGUUCUUGAAGUCAGGGAGACCACGAACCCACCGGGAGGAACAAAGAACUGUGAUGCGCCACCUUUAAGAGUUAUAACACUCACCGCCAGGGUCUGCGCCUUCAUUCCUGGAGUCAGUGAGACCGCGAACCCACCAGAAGGAAGAAACUCCGGACACAUCUCAACAUCUGAAGGAACAAACUCCGGACACACCAUCUUUAAGAACUGUAACACUCACCGGGAGUCUCCGUGUCUUCGUUCUUGAAGACAGCGAGAUCGAGAACCCACCAGAAGGAAUAAAUUCCGGACACAGCAACAGCACAAAGUUAAACCAGGAAGUCCCUCUGCCUUGCUAGGGAUCCAGGUUUGCCUUCCUGUUGAGGUAUCCCGUUUCAUUACAGUUGACCUAAGUUUGAACAAACACUGCCACCUGAUGCAUGAAAGCUCUACUGUGACCUACGUUAAAAGGAGCUGACACUCCCUCAGGCUACCUUAGUCAGUGGGGGCUUAUUGCAGCAUACCUGUGGCGAUGAGAGAGAGAGGCACAUCACAGGAGCAUCUGGCACCAGUGGCAUCCUGGCUGUAUAAACGUGGCACCAACAUCUGCUCAGCUCCUGAUGAGGGCCUCAGAAAGUUCACAGUCAUGGCAGAAGGUGAAGGGGAGCCAACAUGUCACAUGAAUUUAAGAUGAAACAAUAGAGAAAGAACCAAGAAGUUACAUACAUUCAUCAGAAUUGCUGGAGAGUCCUGACCUCUGGCCAUCGAUCAAAGGGAAGCGUUCACUACUGAAGGUUUGUCUUCACUGUACUGGGUAUUCAACUUCCUUGAAAUUAAAAGGAAGAAGGAUAAAAAGUGGUAUGCUGAAUGGAUUAAAGGACAAGGACCAAACUUCAAUUAUCAUCACAGAAAUUAACAUAUGUGGUCUCAUCAAUGAACAAAUCUUUACCAGGUCAAUAAAAAGGGUAUUUCACAUCACACUGACUCCUCGGAAAAAAGGGCCAAUCUAGGGUACAAUGGUAUUUCUCAUCUACUUUGCCAGAAUGAUGCAAGAGAUCCAGAGAAAGGAAUGAAAGCAAGUGUAUUAUGCUCAAAAGUAGGACAAAGACAAGACAAACUGGAGGUAAUAUUCAAUAGCAUGUAAUUCGUCUCUUCAUGAACCCAGGUGAACUAUCAAAUUUUUUCAACAGGUAAAUUGGGGGGAAGGGUACAACAUGUCUGAUAUAUCUACUAUUGCACAAAGAAGAAUUAUAAUAAGAUUUUUUAAGAGAAAUUGUCCCUUUGAAGAUAAUCAAAAGAGAGUUGAAACAUCUGAAAUAAAAUGCAUUCUAUUGGGGUAGGGUUCUUAUUCACCAGAUAUUAGUAAACCUAUCUCCAAUAUAAAAGAAAGAAGAAGUUAGGCCAUAUUUAGUACUUCUUCUGUCUUCCAUAAAAUGUUCAUUUAGCCCUGCAGAAAUCGAACUCGAAAAAAGGUUUCAAUUUAAUUGACUCUAUAUAGGCCUAAACUAGUAUUUUUUAAAGGGAGUUACGAAGAAAAGAUGAAUAUGUGGAGCACAGAGGAUUUUUAGGGCAGUGAAACUACUCUGUAUGAUACUAUAACAGUAGAUAUCAUGGUAUUGUACAUUUGUCCAAACCUACAGAAUGCACACCACCAAGAGUGAACCCGAAUGUAAACUAUGGACUUUGGGUGAUAGCGAUGUAUCAAUGUAGGUUCAUCAGUUGCAACAACUGUGCCACUCUGGUGGAGUAUGUUGAUAAUGGGUGAAGCUGUACAAGUGUGGGGACAGGGGACAGCUGUACAUGUGUGGGGACAUAUGCAUGGGAAACAUCUGUAGUUUCUGUUCAAUUUUGUUGUGAAUCUAAAAUUACUCUAAAAUAUAAUGUCUAUUUAAAAAGAAGGGGUUAUGUAAAAACUAAGGCUACACUGUAAGUUUACCUCUGACAAGGUCUUAUGCAGCAGGGAGCUUUGGUUUUUCAACCUGUGAGCUUCAUCCACAACAAGAACACUCCAAGGGAAUCUGUGAGAGAAAACCCAAGCUUUCAGUUUUGUGUAAUUUAAACACAUAUUUCACAAUCAAAAGUCUUACUACAAAACUGUGACUGUUAUUAAAAAGACUUAACAGUAAGCCCCUUCUAUUACAAAUGCCACCAAAUUACCUUCCUAUCUGAGAGGCUACAUGUGCAUAAUACAAUAUCUGGAUAAGGUAGUAAAACCAAGGGAUUUUUUUUUUUUUAACAAAAUGGGAAAGACCUAUGCAGAAAGGAAGAAGCCAGAGACAGAAAGGAAAAGGAAACAUUUAUGAUCUCCUACUUUGUGCCAGACACUAACCUCAGGGCUUUAUGUGUUAUUUAGUCUAAAAGAGUAUAGCAAGCAGACAAUUGUGCUCAUUUUACUAAUAAAGACACUAAAGCUCAGAAAGGUUAGGUGACUUGGUGAAGGUCAUAAAGACAGAGCUGAUGUUCAAACAGAAGAAAAAAAUCAGGAGACAGUGGUGUUGUAGGAACUUAAGAAGUGUGACUUUAAAAUGGGUAAGUGGUGAGCAGAGUCAAAUCUCACAGAGAUGUCCAGGAAGAUAUAUCCACUGAAUUUGUUGACAUGGAAGUCAUUAGUGGCUGUUGCCAGAGCACAUUUUGUAGCAUACUGUGUCACAUCAGCAAUUUCUCAAGAAGUUUCAGUCAUAAAAGCAAAUACUUUGACAAAUACUACUGAGAAGCUAUUUAAGAAAAAUUCAAAAUACAGAAAAAGAUAUAUGAGGGAAUGUUUCAAGUUGUAUUAUUUAAAACAGCAAAAAAUGGAAAAUAACCUAAAUGUCCAAUAAUAGGUAGUAAAAUAUUACAUGGCAUUUUAAAUCAUAAAUAUGAUUAUGUUGCAAUUUAAAAGGCCUAUAGAAUAAUAAAAAAGAUAUAAAUAUCAUGUAUCCUCUUUUACAAAUGUGAAAGCCAUGCAAAAGAUAAUAAAGUGAAAAUUAUAAGA
rnacentral:antisense_RNA from 1 species